rnacentral:rRNA from 1 species
UACGAAGGGGGCUAGCGUUGCUCGGAAUCACUGGGCGUAAAGGGUGCGUAGGCGGGUCUUUAAGUCAGGGGUGAAAUCCUGGAGCUCAACUCCAGAACUGCCUUUGAUACUGAAGAUCUUGAGUUCGGGAGAGGUGAGUGGAACUGCGAGUGUAGAGGUGAAAUUCGUAGAUAUUCGCAAGAACACCAGUGGCGAAGGCGGCUCACUGGCCCGAUACUGACGCUGAGGUGCGAAAAGCGUGGGGAGCAAACAGG